rnacentral:snRNA from 1 species
CAUGCUUCUCAGCCUUUUGGCUAAGAUCAAGUGUAGUAUCUGUUUCUUACCGAGUACGGUUAUUGUGAGUGUGCACCCCCCCCCUGCGACGUUGCGGCGGGUUGUUAUUUUUUUUCUUCCUCUUUUUUUGCUGGUUGAAGUCAU